rnacentral:rRNA from 1 species
AGUGGCGAACGGGUGAGUAAAGUAUCGGAACGUGCCCAGUCGUGGGGGAUAACGUAGCGAAAGUUACGCUAAUACCGCAUACGAUCUAUGGAUGAAAGCGGGGGAUCGCAAGACCUCGCGCGAUUGGAGCGGCCGAUAUCAGAUUAGGUAGUUGGUGGGGUAAAGGCUCACCAAGCCGACGAUCUGUAGCUGGUCUGAGAGGACGACCAGCCACACUGGGACUGAGACACGGCCCAGACUCCUACGGGAGGCAGCAGUGGGGAGUUUUGGACAAUGGGCGCAAGCCUGAUCCAGCCAUGCCGCGUGCAGGAUGAAGGCCUUCGGGUUGUAAACUGCUUUUGUACGGAACGAAAAGGUUUGGCCUAAUAAGCUGAGCUCAUGACGGUACCGUAAGAAUAAGCACCGGCUAACUACGUGCCAGCAGCCGCGGUAAUACGUAGGGUGCGAGCGUUAAUCGGAAUUACUGGGCGUAAAGCGUGCGCAGGCGGUUAUGUAAGACAGAUGUGAAAUCCCCGGGCUCAACCUGGGAACUGCAUUAGUGACUGCAUAGCUGGAGUACGGCAGAGGGGGAUGGAAUUCCGCGUGUAGCAGUGAAAUGCGUAGAUAUGCGGAGGAACACCGAUGGCGAAGGCAAUCCCCUGGGUCUGUACUGACGCUCAUGCACGAAAGCGUGGG